rnacentral:tRNA from 1 species
CGCGGGGUAGUUCAGCUCGGUAGAACGCCAGGGUCAUGACCUGGAUGCCGCCGGUUCAAAUCCGGCCCCCGCUA